AUAUAUGAUUAAAUUUAUUUACAUGCGUUAUCGUCAUGAUUUUAAUUUGUCACUUCAUUUAUCAUUGAAUGUCGAGACAGAAUUAAAAUUUGAAAUCAACUAACACUAAAUGAUA